GUGAGAACUGUUCUAUAAAAGAAAAGUGGUGUAUUUCUCACAUGACAGGGCCUCUGAUUCCAUGUGAUUAUUCCAGCAGGGACGAGAACAUGCAGGGUUCAAAUCAAAAUUGUCUCAUGAUCUCAUCUAAUAACAAAGAUGUGGGUUUCUGAUAUUCCAGGGAGAUGCCCAGUAUCAGAGGGGAACUCAUUUUCUCGAUGAAUGGAGAGGCCACGCAAGGGAAUUUUGGAAAGUCAUAGUGGCCAGAGCCUUGAGACCACGUGCUGUGGACAAGGAGGAAAGCUGAGAUGGAAGCGAAGGCUGAUAGAGGGAUGAAUAGCCGAGGGUGGUGGGGCAGAGCAGUCCUCAGCAUUGUCCAUCAUGAGCCUUAUGGAUCCCAUACUGAGGGACUGCAACAAGAGAUUUUCACAGAAAAUUUAGCACCUUCUUCUGGGCUUGGGUCUGGCUUGCUUCCCUUUUUUAUG
rnacentral:lncRNA from 1 species